rnacentral:rRNA from 1 species
CAGCCGUAAACAAUGUGCGUUAGGUGUGUCGGUAACCACGCGUUACUGAUGCGCCGAAGGGAAAUCGUGAAACGCACCACCUGGGAAGUACGGUCGCAAGGCUGAAACUUAAAGGAAUUGGCGGGGGAGCACCACAACAGGUGGAGCCUGCGGUUUAAUUGGAUUCAACGCCGGACAUCUCACCGGAUAAGACAGCUGAAUGAUUGUCAAUCUGAAGGUUUUACAUGACUAGCUGAGAGGAGGUGCAUGGCGUCAGUGACU